rnacentral:tRNA from 1 species
GACUUCGUGGUGCAGUGGUGAGCACGCUCGACGCGUAUUCGAGAGGUCCGUGGUUCGAGUCCCGAAGAGGGCA